rnacentral:lncRNA from 1 species
UUUGUUUUUGUGUUGUUAUUUGUUGUUGCCAAAAAUCAUGCUUCCGGUUAGGCUCGUGCAGCCCCCUCUCGGACCAAAGCGUUCAUUGCAUUUAGAGGAAAAAAUAAAACGGAUCAGAAUCGGCUUGUGUUGCCAUUGGCAUUUAUAAAAUCGGGAAUUUGCUUCAGCUAAAUUGUGCAACAUAAAAACAAAUGAAGCAAAUAGACGGCUAUAAGGCCAUACAAUACAAUGAAAAGGUUGAUGUAGAAAUGCUUUUCUUCAGCCCCGGUUCUAGCUAGCUAGGCUAACUGUUAGCAAGUUUGAAUCUUUAAGAAACAGGACCUUCCUUUAAAUCUAUCCUUCAAUUUUUUGUCGAUCGUGUUUCCGCCUCAGAUUGAGCAGCAACAGUGCUGGCCACGUGAUCAAACCGGAAGUAGCCUCAAACGGACUGAUUAGUUUGUGUUUGACCUAAAGUCUGGUUUUGCUCAAAUGGACAUCAUUGCAGUGAAAGUCGAGGAGGAAUACGAGAUAAAACCACUUCCUCUCAAAGACGUCCAGGUUAAAGAGGAACCAGAGGAACAGAGCGUCCGACAGGAGGAAGAGCAGCUCCUACAGGUCACUGCUGUCUGUGUGAAGAGCGACGAGUCCUCACUGUCAGACGUCCAGAUCCAGUCGAGUCCUGAGCCCAGACUGAAGCAGGAGACUCCACAGAUUAAAGAGGAGCAGAGCGUCCCACAGGAGGAAGAGCAGCUCCCACAGUUCACUGCUGUCUGCGUGAAGAGUGAAGAGCAGAGACAAACUGAUGACUGGGAACCUCCAGCCAGCGCUUCAGCUGCACAGACGGACACAGAGUCUGAUGGAGACCACGACGACCAAGUCCAGAUAAAAGACACAAGUCAGCUGCUCACAACUCCACUCUAUUCACCAAAAACAAGUCUGUGAGGGACGGACACACGACAGGAGGGAAACACGAGUGUCCUUUUUGCCAGAAGACAUUCGCCGCUA